rnacentral:rRNA from 1 species
GAGUUUGAUCAUGGCUCAGGAUGAACGCUGGCGGCGUGCCUAAUACAUGCAAGUCGAGCGAUCAGACGAGGAGCUUGCUCCUCUGACGUUAGCGGCGGACGGGUGAGUAACACGUGGAUAACCUACCUAUAAGACUGGGAUAACUUCGGGAAACCGGAGCUAAUACCGGAUAAUAUAUUGAACCGCAUGGUUCAAUAGUGAAAGACGGUUUUGCUGUCACUUAUAGAUGGAUCCGCGCCGCAUUAGCUAGUUGGUAAGGUAACGGCUUACCAAGGCAACGAUGCGUAGCCGACCUGGGAGGGUGAUCGGCCACACUGGAACUGAGACACGGCCCAGACUCCUACGGGAGGCAGCAGUAGGGAAUCUUCCGCAAUGGGCGAAAGCCUGACGGAGCAACGCCGCGUGAGUGAUGAAGGUCUUCGGAUCGUAAAACUCUGUUAUUAGGGAAGAACAAAUGUGUAAGUAACUAUGCACGUCUUGACGGUACCUAAAUCAGAAAGCCACGGCUAACUACGUGCCAC